rnacentral:rRNA from 1 species
CUGCCAGUAGUCAUAUGCUUGUUUCAAGGACUAAGCCAUGCAAGCCUAAGAGUAACUGAGACUAUAGGAGGUCUGCGAACGGCUCAUUAUAUCAGUGAUAAUCCACCGGGAGAAUUGCAGUGAAAACUGCUACCAAUGGAUAACAUCGCGAAACGCGAUGCUAAUACAUGUACAUCACGUGGUGUUAGCCAUCAAACUGCAUCUGGGCAACUGGGUGUAGGGCUUUCGCCUCGCGAAUGGUUGGUACAAAAACCAACGCCAGCAAUGGCAGUGUCGUAAAUUGAUGAUUCAAACCAUUCAGCAGAAGCGUUCUUCGGAACGCGAGUCCCGACGAAUCUCUGCCCUAUCAGCUUUUGACGGUAGUGUAGUGGACUACCGUGGCGAUAACGGGUACGGGGAAUUAGGGUUCGAUUCCGGAGAGGGAGCCUGAGAGAUAGCUACCACUUCUACGGAGGGCAGCAGGCGCGUAAAUUGCCCAAUGCCGAUCUGGCGAGGCAGCGAAGAGAAAUAGCGACUCCGCCCUUCGGGGUGGAGAUUGCAAUGUGUGGUAUUUAGCACCACUUACGAGUAACAAUUGGAGGACAAGUCUGGUGCCAGCACCCGCGGUAAUUCCAGCUCCAAUAGCGUAUAUUAAGGUUGCUGCUGUUAAAGGGUUCGUAGUUGGAUGCGGAGCAUUGGAAAUCAAGAGUUCGCUCUUGACCUUCCUCGCUCCGUUCAAUGACGGGACAGAUGCCUUGCGGAAGCCUCACUUUAUUGGGAGGCGGAAGCUGCCAGCCGAAGAGGCAGGCACUACGCAUGCGACGCAUGCUUUGGCCGCCCGUCGUUAUUACUGUGAAGAAAACAGCGUGUUCAAGGCAGCCGCUUGCGGCCUGAAUGACAAAGCAUGGAAUAACAAGGGAUCGACCAGUGGGUCAACUCUUUUGUUGGUUUUUAAGAUCCAUUUGGAUAAUAUGUUGGUUGCGCUUUCCUCGUCUUCAGUUCGCUGUUGGCUUGGAGCUCUUCCGAACACGGGAUUAAUGGGGGUUGUCGGGGGAAAACGUAUCGGAGCGUGAGAGGUGAAAUUCUUAGACCGCUCUGGGACGAACUUAUGCGAAGGCAUUUUCCAAGUAUACCUUCAUCAAUCAAGAACUAAAGUGUGGAGAUCGAAGAUGAUUAGAUACCAUUGUAGUCCACUACUGCAAACGAUGACGCCCAUGGAUUGGAUAGCUUUUUUUCAUGGGAUCUCUUCAGCACUGCUCCCCCUUCAACGCGAAAGCUGAGGCUAUGGUCUCAUGGGGGAGUACGUUCGCAAGGCUGAAACUUAAAGAAAUUGACGGAAUGGCACCACCGGGCGUGGAGUGUGCGGUUUAAUUUGACUCAACACGGGGAACCUUACCAGCACAGGAUAACGCAAGGAUUGACAGAUUGAUAGUUCUUUCUUAAUUCGUUUGACGGUGGUGCAUGGCCGCUUUUGGUCGGUGAAGUGAUUUGUUUGGUUGAUUCCUUUAACGGACGAGACCCAAUCCGCUUAAUAGGGCGACCAUCUACCUUUUGGUAAACGGACCCUGCAGGCUUGCCUGUAGGUCAUCCCGGAUGGUUAUACCCUUCUUCGCGGCAUUCCCUGCGUUUUUAGCAGGGUGGCAUUUUGGGCAACAGCAGGUCCGUGAUGCUCCUAAAUGUGCUGGGCUACACGCGCACUACAAUGGCAAAGUGAAUGAGUGAAACCUCUUUGGUCCUGCCUCGAAGGGGGUGGGGAAACUGAGAAAACUAUGUCGUGCUUGGGAUCGAAGCUUGCAAUUAUUCUUCUUGAACGAGGAAUGCCUAGUAGAUGUGCUUCAUCAAAGCGCAUUGACUACGUCCCUGCCAUUUGUACACACCGCCCGUCGUUGCUACCGAUGCCAGUGGGAUACAGGAUAACGGAUGCGGGUGUAGUUCGCUACAUUCACAGAAGUUUUCCCAUGUUUCACUAGUAGAGGAAGCAAAAGUCGUAACAAGGUAGCUGUAGGUGAACCUGCAGAAGGAUC